rnacentral:rRNA from 1 species
GACGAACGCUGGCGGCGUGCCUAACACAUGCAAGUCGAACGGGGUAUUUCUUCGGAGAUACUUAGUGGCGAACGGGUGAGUAACGCGUGAGAAACCUGCCUUUCAGUGGGGGACAACAGUUGGAAACGACUGCUAAUACCGCAUAAUGUUAUUUAAGGGCAUCCUUGAAUAACCAAAGCUUUAUGUGCUGAAAGAUGGUCUCGCGUCUGAUUAGCUAGAUGGCGGGGUAACGGCCCACCAUGGCGACGAUCAGUAGCCGGUCUGAGGGGAUGAACGGCCACAUUGGGACUGAGAUACGGCCCAGACUCCUACGGGAGGCAGCAGUGGGGAAUAUUGGGCAAUGGGGGAAACCCUGACCCAGCAACGCCGCGUGAAGGAAGAAGGCCUUCGGGUUGUAAACUUCUUUUACCAGGGACGAAAAAAUGACGGUACCUGGAGAAAAAGCAACGGCUAACUACGUGCCAGCCGCCGCCGUAAGAC